AGACGCGAAGGUGAUCCGGCUGUAACAUCUGUCACCUUAGCGAUCACCAGGGUUCAUUCAGCUGAUCUCUUUAGGUAGGCAGGUGUCUGCUUUCUUCAUCGAUCUCCGUGUGCAUUAAGUAGGAUCAACUUCCCUGAUAGAGGACUGUACUUGGCUCAAGGAUGUAUGAAUAUCUGUGCUGCUCUCAUAGAAUCUCCAAAGCUCUCGAGAGGAUUUCAUACCCAGGUAAGUCUCAGUUACACGAAUGAUCACAGUUACAAACAGGAGUUACUAUUCUAU
ensembl:misc_RNA 7SK 7SK RNA